AAAGAUAUCUGGUUGAUCCUGCCUGAACUGAUGUGUUCAUUUCAAAGAUUAAGCCAUGCAUGUAUAAGUUUAAUCGUUUUAACGAGAAACCGCGAACGGCUCAUUACAAUGGCCAUGAUUUACUUGAUCUUGAUUAUCUAAAUGGAUAACUGUGGAAAAGCUAGAGCUAAUACAUGCACCAGAGCUUUGUCCUCUCGGAAAAGCGCAUUUAUUAGAACAAAACCACGCGGCUUCGGCUGCUUCUUGUUGACUCAGAAUAACUAAGCUGACCGCAUGGCCUUGUGCCGGCGGCGUGUCUUUCAAGCGUCCACUUUAUCAACUUGACGGGAGCAUAAUCGACUCCCGUGGUGGUGACGGAUAACGGAGGAUCAGGGUUCGACUCCGGAGAAGGGGCCUGAGAAAUGGCCACUACGUCUAAGGAUGGCAGCAGGCGCGCAAAUUACCCACUCUCGGCUCGAGGAGGUAGUGACGAGAAAUAACGAGACUGUUCUCUUUGAGGCCGGUCAUCGGAAUGGGUACAAUUUAAACCCUUUAACGAGUAUCAAGCAGAGGGCAAGUCUGGUGCCAGCAGCCGCGGUAAUUCCAGCUCUGCUAAUACAUAGAAUUAUUGCUGCGGUUAAAAAGCUCGUAGUUGGAUUCGUAUCGGUACCUUGGAACCCUUCGGGUGUUUCUGGGUGUUAUCGAUUUAUCGUAAUGUUCGGUUUUGAGUCCUUAACAGGAUUUUUAACAGUCAUUGCAAGUUUACUUUGAACAAAUCAGAGUGCUUCAAACAGGCGUUUUCGCUUGAAUGAUUGUGCAUGGAAUAAUAGAAAACGAUUUCGGUUCAGUUUUAUUGGUUUUACGGACUGAGAUAAUGGUUAACAGAGACAAACGGGGGCAUUUGUAUGGCCCCGUGAGAGGUGAAAUUCUUGGACCGUGGCCGGACAAACUACAGCGAAAGCAUUUGCCAAGAAUGUCUUCAUUAAUCAAGAACGAAAGUCAGAGGUUCGAAGGCGAUCAGAUACCGCCCUAGUUCUGACCGUAAACGAUGCCAACUAGCGAUCCGCUGAUGGAAAUUAUAUUGCCUUGGUGGGGAGCUUCCCGGAAACGAAAGUCUUCCGGUUCCGGGGGAAGUAUGGUUGCAAAGCUGAAACUUAAAGGAAUUGACGGAAGGGCACCACCAGGAGUGGAGCCUGCGGCUUAAUUUGACUCAACACGGGGAAACUCACCCGGCCCGGACACUGUGAGGAUUGACAGAUUGAUAGCUUUUUCAUGAUUCAGUGGAUGGUGGUGCAUGGCCGUUCUUAGUUCGUGGAGUGAUUUGUCUGGUUUAUUCCGAUAACGAGCGAGACUCUAACCUACUAAAUAGUUGGUACAUACUCUUUGUGUAUACAGCUUCUUAGAGGGAUUUGCGGCGUUCAGCCGAAAGAAAUUGAGCAAUAACAGGUCUGUGAUGCCCUUAGAUGUCCGGGGCUGCACGCGCGCUACACUGGCAAAAUCAACGUGCUUGUCCUACCCUGAAAGGGGCGGGUAAACCAUUGAAAAUUUGCCGUGAUUGGGAUCGGAAAUUGCAAUUAUUUUCCGUGAACGAGGAAUUCCAAGUAAGUGCGAGUCAUCAGCUCGCGUUGAUUACGUCCCUGCCCUUUGUACACACCGCCCGUCGCUGCCCGGGACUGAGCCAUUUCGAGAAAUUUGGGGACCGUUGAUUUAAUUUAUCUAAAUUAUUUUGAUGGAAACCAAUUUAAUCGCAGUGGCUUGAACCGGGCAAAAGUCGUAACAAGGUAGCUGUAGGUGAACCUGCUGCUGGAUCAUUACUUUA